rnacentral:rRNA from 1 species
UUUUGUUUAAUAACCUCCAAUGACCCCCCUUCCGUUAGGUGAACCUGCGGAGGGAUCAUUACCGAGUUAUCAACUCCCAAACCCCCUGUGAACAUACCUUUUGUUGCCUCGGCGGGAUCGCCCCGGCGCCUCCGGGCCCGGACCCAGGCGCCCGCCGCAGGACCCCAAACUCUUGUUUUCUAUAUGAAUCUUCUGAGUGACACAAGCAAAUAAAUUAAAACUUUCAACAACGGAUCUCUUGGUUCUGGCAUCGAUGAAGAACGCAGCGAAAUGCGAUAAGUAAUGUGAAUUGCAGAAUUCAGUGAAUCAUCGAAUCUUUGAACGCACAUUGCGCCCGGCAGUAUUCUGCCGGGCAUGCCUGUUCGAGCGUCAUUUCAACCCUCAAGCCCCCGGGCUUGGUGUUGGAGAUCGGCCCGCCCCCGUGGCAGGCCGGCUCCGAAAUUCAGUGGCGGUCCCGCUGUAACUUCCUCUGCGUAGUAGCAAUAUCUCGCACCGGAAAGCGACGGAGCCUUGCCGUAAAACCCCCAACUUUGAAGGUGACUCGAUCAGUAGAAACCCGCUGA